rnacentral:rRNA from 1 species
UAGGGAAUCUUCCACAAUGGACGCAAGUCUGAUGGAGCAACGCCGCGUGAGUGAAGAAGGCUUUCGGGUCGUAAAACUCUGUUAUUGAAGAAGAACGUGCGUGACAGUAACUGGUCAUGCAGUGACGGUAUUCAAUCAGAAAGUCACGGCUAACUACGUGCCAGCAGCCGCGGUAAUACGUAGGUGGCAAGCGUUGUCCGGAUUUAUUGGGCGUAAAGCGAGUGCAGGCGGUCUUUUAAGUCUGAUGUGAAAGCCUUCGGCUUAACCGAAGAAGGGCA